rnacentral:rRNA from 1 species
UUGAAAGUUACUAAGGGCGUACGGUGGAUGCCUUGGGUCUGAGAGGCGAUGAAGGACGUGAUAAGCUGCGAUAAGCUUCGGGGAGGUGCACAUAACCUUCGAUCCGAAGAUUUCCGAAUGGGGCAACCCUCUAUGUUGAAGACAUAGAAUACCGCUUGCGGUAGGCGAACGGGGAGAACUGAAACAUCUAAGUACCCCCAGGAAGAGAAAACAAUUGUGAUUUCCCAAGUAGUGGCGAGCGAAAAGGAAAAAGCCCAAACCAGUCAAGCGUGCUUGAUUGGGGUUGUAGGACUAUAAUGUGGACUACAGAAUCAAAGUUGAAGUGAAUGGAAAGUCACACGAUAAAGAGUGAUAGUCUCGUAAACGAAAAAUUCUGUUACCUAAUAGUAUCCUGAGUACCGCGAGGUCGGAGACGCCUUGUGGGAAUCUGCCGGCACCAUCCGGUAAGGCUAAAUACUCCUCAGACACCGAUAGCGAACUAGUACUGUGAAGGAAAGGUGAAAAGAACCGCGAACAGCGGAGUGAAAUAGAACCUGAAACCGUACGCUUACAAGCGGUUGGAGUGGCUUCGUGCCAUGACAACGUGCCUUUUGCAUAAUGAUCCUACGAGUUACUCGUCACUGGCAAGGUUAAGAAUUUAAUAUUCGAAGCCGUAGCGAAAGCAAGUCUGAAUAGGGCGAUAGUCAGUGGCGGUAGACGCGAAACCUUGUGAUCUACCCAUGAGCAGGAUGAAGUGACGGUAACACGUCAUGGAGGUCCGAACUGAUAAGCGUUGAAAAGCUUCCGGAUGACUUGUGGGUAGGGGCGAAAGACUAAUCAAACUGGGAGAUAGCUCGUACUCUCCGAAAUGCCUUUUGGGGCAGCGUUGGAAUUGAGUUUUAUAGAGGUAGAGCUACCGAUUGGGCUAGGGGGCUUCACCGCCUACCAAACCCUGACGAACUCCGAAUGCUAUAAAAUAUAUCCAGCAGUGAGGCAGCGAGUGAUAAGGCCCGUUGCCGAAAGGGAAACAACCCAGACCAUCAGCUAAGGUCCCAAAGUCUAUAUUAAGUUGCACAAACGUUGUCCGAUUGCUAUAACAGCUAGGAUGUUUGCUUGGAAGCAGCAAUCAUUUAAAGAGUGCGUAACAGCUCACUAGUCGAGUGAUCGGGCGCGGAAGAAUGACCGGGCAUAAAAUAUAGCACCGAAGCUAUGGAUUCGAAAGAAUGGUAGGAGAGCAUUCCAGCAUCUGUGAAGGUGAACCGUGAGGUUUGCUGGAGAAACUGGAAAAGAAAAUGUAGGAAUAAGUAACGAUAAAUAAGGUGAAAAACCUUAUCGCCAUAAACCUAAGGGUUCCUGAUCAAUGUUAAUCAGAUCAGGGUUAGUCGGAUCCUAAGGACCACCCGAAAGGGGACCUCCGAUGGAAAACUAGUUAAUAUUCUAGUACUUGUUUAAAUUUCGAUGGGGUGACGGAGCGAUGAAAGAUUCACGAUGGCAACGGAAAUGUCCACGUUUAAGUGCGUAGGUCUAUGAGCUAAUAGAAAAUCUGUAGCUCUUCUGAAACACGAAAGUAUACCAAUCCUUCGGGAAAGGGGAGAAUCCUAAGUGCUUCCAAGAAAAACCUCUAAGGCUAGGUUUAAACAAUCCGUACCGUAAACCGACACAGGUGGGUGAGGAGAAUAUCCUAAGGCGCUCGGGUGAGCCGCGGUUAAGGAAUUCGGCAAAAUUGUCCUGUAACUUCGGGAGAAAGGACCCCUACUUCGGUAGGGCGCAGUGAAAAGGCCUAGGCGACUGUUUAACAAAAACACAGGACUCUGCUAAAUCGUAAGAUGAUGUAUAGGGUCUGACACCUGCCCGGUGCUGGAAGGUUAAAGAAGGAGGUCAGCGCAAGCGAAGCUUUCGACUGAAGCCCCAGUAAACGGCGGCCGUAACUAUAACGGUCCUAAGGUAGCGAAAUUCCUUGUCGGGUAAGUUCCGACCUGCACGAAUGGUGUAACGAUCUAGGCACUGUCUCAACCGCGAGCCCGGUGAAAUUGAAGUAUCGGUGAAGAUGCCGGUUACCCGCAACGGGACGGAAAGACCCCAUGCACCUUCACUACAACUUUGCACUGAAUUUGAUUAAAUGAUGUGUAGGAUAGGUGGGAGACUUUGAAGUUGGAGCGCUAGCUCUAAUGGAGUCAUCCUUGAAAUACCACCCUUUAUUUGAUUAGAUUCUAACUCUAGAUAAGGAGGACACUGCAUGGUGGGUAGUUUGACUGGGGUGGUCGCCUCCCAAAAUGUAACGGAGGCUUCUAAAGGUACCCUCAGCACGCUUAGUAACCGUGCGCAGAGUGCAAUGGCACAAGGGUGCUUGACUGCAAGACUGACAAGUCAAGCAGGGACGAAAGUCGAGCAUAGUGAUCCGGUGGUUCCAUAUGGAAGGGCCAUCGCUCAAAGGAUAAAAGGUACGCUGGGGAUAACAGGCUGAUCUCCCCCAAGAGCUCAUAUCGACGGGGAGGUUUGGCACCUCGAUGUCGGCUCGUCACAUCCUGGGGCUGGAGAAGGUCCCAAGGGUU